UGUUCUGGGGCUUAGUUGGUUACAGCACCGGACAGCGAUACGGAGUCGUGGGUUCGAAUCCCAACUAAACAA
rnacentral:tRNA from 1 species